rnacentral:rRNA from 1 species
UACGUAGGGGGCAAGCGUUGUCCGGAAUUAUUGGGCGUAAAGCGCGCGCAGGCGGCUGAUUAAGUCUGGUGUUUAACCCCGGGGCUCAACCCCGGGUCGCACUGGAAACUGGUUGGCUUGAGUGCAGAAGAGGAAAGUGGAAUUCCACGUGUAGCGGUGAAAUGCGUAGAGAUGUGGAGGAACACCAGUGGCGAAGGCGACUUUCUGGUCUGUUCUUGACGCUGAGGCGCGAAAGCUAGGGUAGCAAACGGG